rnacentral:rRNA from 1 species
AUUGAACGCUGGCGGAAUGCUUUACACAUGCAAGUCGAACGGCAGCACGGACUUCGGUCUGGUGGCGAGUGGCGAACGGGUGAGUAAUGCAUCGGAACGUGCCCAAUCGUGGGGGAUAACGUAGCGAAAGUUACGCUAAUACCGCAUACGAUCUAAGGAUGAAAGCGGGGGAUCGCAAGACCUCGCGCGAAUGGAGCGGCCGAUGUUAGAUUAGGUAGUUGGUGGGGUAAAGGCUCACCAAGCCGACGAUCUAUAGCUGGUCUGAGAGGAUGAUCAGCCACACUGGGACUGAGACACGGCCCAGACUCCUACGGGAGGCAGCAGUGGGGAAUUUUGGACAAUGGGCGCAAGCCUGAUCCAGCCAUUCCGCGUGCAGGAUGAAGGCCCUCGGGUUGUAAACUGCUUUUGUACAGAACGAAAGCUCUGGGUUAAUACCCUGGGGACAUGACGGUACUGUAAGAAUAAGCACCGGCUAACUACGUGCCAGCA